rnacentral:lncRNA from 1 species
CCCUUUUUUGUGUGCCUGGUUGUACUGCUCAGCUCUUGCACAUGCCCACAUGGAAGAAACUUCAAGUAGCAAGCAGUUCAUCACAUCAAUCAUCAUCAAGUUGGUAGUUAAAGAAUUACACUUCAAAUUGACAGUAACACUAAACAGUGCUGCUACUAGUAAGAGGCUAACAGUUGCAGUAAUUAAGUAAUUUUACAUGAACAUUAGAGAGAGAGAGACUCUCUCUCUCUCUCUCUCUCUCUGGACAAGAAAAUGCAAGCAAGCAAGCAAGCAGUACAAGGUAGUGAUUGAUUAUUAUUCGAUUAAUUGUGGUUGCUAAUCUCAACACUAGGUGUAAUAGGUUUGGUUGAGAUGGUUUCAGAAGACCAGCUUCCGACGUGGCAGGCGGCGGUCCACGUCGGCGAGCUCGCGGAUGGUGUCGGCCACGAGGUCCUUGAACACCAGCCGCUCGAUGUGUAGCACGGCGUCCGCG